GUGAUAAGAUCGUCGAGCCACGGCGGGCCCCGCUGAUUCCCGGCAUGGACGCCGUGAAGAAGGCGGCGAUUGAGGCCAGGGCUUUCGGGUGUACGAUAAGCGGGGCGGGGCCCACCGCGGUGGCGGUUACAGAUGAUCUUGAGAGAGGGAAAGCGAUUGGGGAGAGAAUGGUGGCGGCGUUUUUGAAGGAGGGAAAGUUGAAGGCGGCGGCGAGUGUGAGUAGGCUCGACCGGGUUG
rnacentral:lncRNA from 1 species